rnacentral:misc_RNA from 1 species
UUGUGGAGGAGGACGCCGAAGGUGGGGCUAAUGACUGGGGUGAAGUCGUAACAAGGUAGCCGUACCGGAAGGUGCGGCUGGAUCACCUCCUAACAGGGAGACAACAAAAUGUUUAAUAUUAUUAUUUUGUCACCUUAGGUCGGUCGGUAUCUCACGUUCUUAAUUUAUUAAGAAUUUCAUUUCCUAAGUUUUUCUAGGUCACACCCAUUAUUUUUCCUGGGCCAUUAGCUCAGGUGGUUAGAGCGCACCCCUGAUAAGGGUGAGGUCCCUGGUUCAAGUCCAGGAUGGCCCAUAUCUCUAUGUUGGGGGUAUAGCUCAGUUGGUAGAGCGCCUGCCUUGCAAGCAGGAUGUCAGCGGUUCGAGUCCGCUUACCUCCACUGAUUACCACCUCUUCCAUAUCAAUGAGAAAGGAAUUGUUUUGAGUUGUGAUCAAAUUCUGAACGAAUCUAGCUUCCUAAUGAAAUCAUUAAGAUGCUGGACUCAUUGAAUUAAUUUCAUUGUUUUCAGAGAACCUUGACAACUGCAUAGAUUAUUUUAAAGACAAUAAGCAUUUUAAUGAUGCAGAUUUAUUAUUGGUGCGAACGCAUUAAUAACAAUUCUAUUAAGCUGAUGCUCCAAUUAGAAGUUAUUGGUCAAGCUACAA